AAGCGCCGGGCUGCAGAAAGUGGGUGUGCGCGGGCGCCGGCCUACAGUGAGUACUAACCCCAAGCCCUAGCAUGGUCGUUACCUAGCGGUGUGACCUUGGACGAGUCCCUUCACCUCCCCGAUCCUUUGUUUCCCAUUGCAUUAGGGAGGGGGUGAAGUUAGACUGGUGUUUCUGGAACCCAUACUGGCUGCCAGAAGGAAGAAAGGAUGCCUGUUCUGGGGGAGAAGACUGACAUUCCUCCUCCCUGUCUCCCCUGUGUCAGGAUCUCUGCGGCCUGAGUGCCGUGACUGAGGCACAGUCCUGCCUUGAACUGGCUGUGUGACCUGAAGGCAGCCGCUUCACCUCUCUGGUCUCAGCGUCCUCCUCGGCAGAAGAGGCAGUGAUGCUCAGGUUUAUGGAGUACCUACUGCGGCCCAGGCCCUGUUUUAGUCUCUGUAUACUCCUGAGAAAGAUGUGAUGAACUCGACAAAUUCCUUCGUUCUACAGGAAGAAAGAAGGUUAUACAAGAGCAGUGGGCUUCUGAGAAAAUGAGGAAAUGCUAACCUCAUUGACCGGCCUCCUGCAUCUGCCCUGAGGGACAGUAAUAAGAACCCCAUCUCGCAGGUCACCUUUGAAGAAAAGUCAUGCUGCUUUUAAAAAGUAUGAAAAUCACUGGUAAAUGCCUUGAAGGCAAGCUGAGGAGUUUGAGCUCCAUGUGGUGAACAGUAGGGAAGCUAUGAGGAUGUGGACAGAAGAACAAUAAGACUAAAGCAAUGCUUUUUCCAAACUCUUCUCAAAUUCUUCAGUGUGUGUGGAGUCGGCUGGAAAGGGAAACAAGCACAUUCUCCAGGAAGGGCCAGUAGGAGACUGAAUCUUCCUCCCAGAUGCCUGCUGUCUCUGUCCUCUGCUGAGCAGUCUCACGGACCGCAUUGCUGGCUAGCAUCCUGCCCGAAUCAUGACGGCGGCCCUCUGCACUCUGCCUUCAGACUCUCUCCAAAACCCUUAUCCUGCUGUUCCGUUCCAUGUGCCCCAGCCCCCCACAGUUCUUCCUUGGUCAUGGGAGAAAAACCAAACUACCUCGCUUGUCAUUCAAGGCCCCACAACGUAACAAACUCUGCCUAUCUGCUACUAGUCACCCUUUGUCUCUGGCUGGCUAUACCUUCUUACAGUGUAAGACCCCCAAACAUGGUGCAUAUUUCCUCUUGUGUAUCUCAGGCCAUGCCCUGGUCCUAGGAUGCACCCCCAGACACACACCACAGACCCACACACACACACACCUGUACUUAGGACGCAAUCCUUGUAGACGUCACACAAAUUCCACCGGCCUUUUUGACCAUGUUCGGUCAUAUCUGUCUCUCCCCUAAGCAUGCCCGGAGGAACCCUGCCUCUUAAAUACUUAUUCUGGCAGUGA